AUAUUACUAAGCGGAGGAAAAGAAAUCAACGAAGAUUGCCUCAGUAGCGGCGAGUGAAGCGGCUAUAGCUCAAGCUUAGAGUCUGUGAUCGUCUCGGUCACCGAAUUGUAAUCUAAAGGGGUAAGCAAAAGGGGAAAUCGAGGUAUAAGUUCCUUGGAAAAGGACAUCAUAGAGGGUGAAAAUCCCGUAUGUAACCUCUGUUGAACCGAAUGUUUUCCUUCUAAGAGUCGGGUUGUUUGGGAAUGCAGUCCUAAAUGGGUGGUAAAUUUCAUCUAAAGCUAAAUAUUGGCGAGAGACCGAUAGCGCACAAGUA
rnacentral:rRNA from 1 species